UGUAUGCAAGGCAAAUUUGAGUGUAGGUAGACUGCUUGGCAUUAGGUCUUGCUGACUUGGCCUUCGACACACUUGUGGUUUUGACUCAAGACUUGUUAGCAACAUGUCGAUUCAAGAGCUAUUGGCAACAUGUUAGUUGAGACUUGACAAAUGCAGCAGGACAAAGUAAGAAACUCCAAAGUUCAAGACAUGACCAAGUUAGCAUUAAAGUGAAGAAAACAAAUUGACAUGGAAAAAACCAAGUCAACAUGGGCACGGAGCAUGGAAUAAGGGUUAGGGUCAGUCCUUUGGUGAUUAGGGAUGAACAAGGACCUAGGGUUGACUUUGGUCAA
rnacentral:lncRNA from 1 species